rnacentral:lncRNA from 1 species
AUUGAGUUGGAAUUCGAAAUUUUUUCAAUUAUAAUUUUAAUUGACCCUUAAUAACAAUGCAUUAGAAAAAAUGAUAGGUGGACGACAUGUGUUUAGCAGGCAGGCCUCAGUUCUAAUGUCAUCACCGAUCGCAUCACAGCACACGGGCAUCUACUAAUAACACUAGAGACUUCACCGCAACAUUAGCCGAAGAGGACACUACAGGACAACCAGAUAGCCAGAAAACCAAAAAGUCAACUAACAGAAGAGACGCGUGAAAAAGAAAAUAACAAACGCCCUAAAACUAAUCAACCAUCAACGGAAAACUAGCACCUUAAUCCAAAAAACAACAAGCUUACCAAUCCACAGCCGGCUAUAUUCAACAACGCAUCUCUCGCCAAAGUUAAAGAUCAUCCUAUGGCAUUUUCAGUCUAAUCUAGCUAUAGAGUCACCUUAUGGAGCCCCAACCAAAGGCUCUGGCAUCGAUUAUCACUAACCUCUUAAUGCUCCAUUGAUAGCCCUUUAGCUCACGCCUAAAAUCACGAUCCUAAACAAACAAGCCAGAAAACAUACCAAUAGAACUUUUCAAAUCUGUACAAAACACACAAAGAAAACAUACAAACGAAAGGACAAGAAAAAACAAAACUCGAGCAGGCAUCCUAUCUGAAGCAGAGGAGUUGAUGCCGAAAAACUCAUGCUCUGCUCACUUCUCUCUUUGCACUUUGUCUCUCUUUCUAUCUCUUAUUUUUAGAUU